rnacentral:rRNA from 1 species
GAUGAACGCUAGCGAUAGGACUAACACAUGCUAGUCGAGGGGCAGCAUAGAGUAGCAAUACUUUGAUGGCGACCGGCGCACGGGUGAGUAACACGUAUGCAACCUACCUACAUCAGGGGAAUAACCCGGAGAAAUUCGGACUAAUACCGCAUAAUACAGGGAUGCCGCAUGGCAAUAUUUGUUAAAGAUUUAUCGGAUGUAGAUGGGCAUGCGUUCCAUUAGCUAGUUGGUAAGGUAACGGCUUACCAAGGCAACGAUGGAUAGGGGAACUGACAAGUUUGACCCCCCCACUGGAACUGCGAAGAGGACCAGACUCCUACGGCAAGCAGCAGUGAGCAAUAUUGGUCAAUGUACCAGGUGCUGAACCAGCCAAAUCUCAUUAAGGAAGACAGCCCUACGAGUUGUAAACUUCUUUUGAACAGGAAUAAAAGACAUUACGUGUAGUGUAUUGCAUGUACUGUAUGAAUAAGCAUCGGCUAACUCCGUGGCAGCAUGCGCUGUAA